rnacentral:lncRNA from 1 species
GACUGCGCAUAAGUAUUGCUACAUCUAGUUCACCAGAACUGUGAAUAAUGCAUAUCUUGGUGGUUUGCCAACUGACCACAGAAGGAAAAACCCUGGGAUGGCUCACAGGCUUGGAAGACCAGACAGAGAUGAAUAUUUUGCACAGACUGAAGAAAUGUCGGGUUCGAGAGAGACGGAGAGCCCAAGGUCAAGAGCCGUACAGCCAUCUUUGCAUGGAGAAGGACCCAAGCGGAUGGUCACCGAGGAGACUCUGGCGGUGGUCAGGCUCUGAUCGUUAG